CGUUAGCCACCUAGAGACCUAGCUAGAAUUUGCAACAUUUUCAUACAUUUAGCUUCUUUUUUUUACAUAUUGUACAUGAGACCAGGCUGUUCGUGCAGAACGUUCCAUCUUCAUAACAAUAAAAAAAGGAUUCCUCAAAAUUCAUUCUGAGACUAACAAUGUCGAGACAGCCUAUAGACAGACAAGAAGUGCAAUGUCUAGGUGCAUGUAGUAGAGUUAAAAUGGUUAUUCCAGCAAACUUCAAAUUAUUAGAAUAGUAAACAACGCAGAACAGAACAAUCAGGUUGAGGGUCAGUGGCCAAAAGCCCGCGAACAGGAAUAUUCCAAGUUCAGACAGAAGGGGGGAGUCAGAUCGCCAGGAACUUUACUUUUGGUUUCUAAUUUUAAUUGUUGCGCUACUGGUGACGCCUGUUGAUGUUAGGUAGGCAGCUACAAUCCCGCUCUCCUCAGUCUGAGAAAACACUGAGAGAGAAAGAUCAACAUAAAAGCCUUAAAGACAGCCGUGGUGUCGCUCUUCAAUUCUUGGUUCUCCUGUGGUGCAUAAGAAACCCGCUACAUGCAGUGGAAACAACCUGGAGCUGAACACAAAGAUAAGAAAGGACAUGAUAGAGGAUUUUAGGAAGCAGGAGAUAAUCACAUUGCUGUCGUGGAGCUGGUGGACUGGCAUAAACAUCUCUCCUGACAUGGUCAGCCAACACAAACCCACUGGGUGGGGGUACAGGUCCGUUGGGCAGGCAGAGGUAUAGGACCUUUAGAUAUAGAGUAAAGGGGAUAUUCUGUAAGGCUAUCACUUUGUAGAUCCAAGACCAAGAAAACACAUUCCCCUCAGGAUCAAUAGAGCACCAGCAUGUCCUGCAGCACUGGAGUGUGUUUUAAACUAUGUGCCUUUUACUUUGCAGUACUUAAAGCUAAUUUAAUAUUUAGCAUGUAUUACCAAAAUGACCAAAAGAUAAACAGACUUUUCAGUAUAGAAUGAAUGUAAGCAAUGCAUGAUGGCUAAUGGUGUUUUAUUCGGUUGUAGUUCCAUGUAUUUCUUACAAAAAAAAAACAGUGUAAACCAUUUUUAUUGACCAGAAUGUAACUGAAAAUACAAUAGCAGCCUUGCCAUUGUCCAUCAAUACCAAAACAUGUUUUUUUUUUCGUAUAACAUUUUGGGAAAUGUAUGUUGUCAUUGUAGUCUUACAUUUUGUUGGCCAACCAAAAUGACCAAAACGUUAACCCGUAAUAAGGCUAGGGUGGAAUUGUACUAUGAGCUGGCUGAGUGUAAAUACAUGGCUCUGAGUGUAAACCUUUUCACUAGAAACCUAGUUGUGUUCAAAUUACCGUCUGUGCGAAAUAGCUAGAAAGCUUUCGUAUUUCAACUUGGCUACACUUACGGUUAUGAAAACGAUAAAUGACGUGCAAUACCUGCGUCGAUCUGUGACGAGCAGCAAAACCCCGGAAAGCUUCUAGCCUACCGGAAAGUUACUAGAAGAACAUUUUUACAUUUUUUUAAAACAUUUUAGUCAUUUAGCAGACGCUCUUAUCCAGAGCGACUUACAGUAGUGAAUGCAUACAUUUCAUACAUUUUUCCCCGUACUGAACAAGAAUUGUUACUUCAUCCGGUUAUGUGACAUUUGUUGUUUAUAGAUUUUUCUCCCACACCAGAUGUCUGGACCCUGGACAGAUAACAGGUAGGUCGUCAGUUCGUCCCUUGUUGUCAGAAAUACAGCAUACAUACAUACACAUUUGUUUUCGUGUUUGUUAAAGUGUUUGGUUUAAAAAACGCGUUAAACCAGUAAGGAAGGUUACGUAACUGCCAGGUCGCAAUUGUAAAUGAGAACUUGUUCUCAACUUGCCUACCUGGUUAAAUAAAGGUGAAAUAAAUAAAAAACUAAGGUGAAUAAAGAAAGUUGCAUACACAACAGAAUGUGUGGAUAUUUUUGUUGCAUUACUUGCAUGUUAUUCUCACUUAUUAUUUUAGCCACCUAUAAAUUAGGCUAUAUAUUCCCCUUUUUCAUUUUACAUUUUAGUCAUUUAGCAGACGCUCUUAUCCAGAGCGACUUACAGUAGACUGCAUACAUUUUUACAUACUGGCCCACCGUGGGAAUCGAACCCACAACCCUGGCGUUGCAAGCGCCAUGCUCUACCAACUGAGCUACAGUGGGACUCUUUGCAUCUUCAAAGAAAUACACAUUGCCACUCAAUCUGUAUAAAUCGUGUGACAUCUCCUUGGAAGAAGGAGAGAGGGACCCCAGGAGGGACGUGAAGGAGUUGAUGAAAUCCUGUUAAGACAAACAAUCAGGUGAGAGGAGGUCCUAACUAGUCAAUGAUCUAAAUUGAUCAAAACCUGUAGACACUAGCCUUUAAGGACUGGAGUUACACACAUGAACAACAUGAACAAGGAAGUGACAGACUAAUAGCGCAUUAUUGGUAAAUGGUGACACACUGACUGAUCUGCAAGUAAUAAUAAUAGAUAUGUAUUUGUUAUUCAAAGUGAUUUGUAGAUCAGUCAGUCUGCGUGUGGAGGAGGAUGAAGACCUUUAGUUACGUGCAGGACAUAGUAAAACACACGCUAUCAAUGACAUGCAGCUUUUCUCAUAGACAGGGGAGGUUACUAUGUGAAGGAAUGUGUUAGGAUUGGUAGUUGUCUCUUUAUGUUUCUUUUGAGAUGGUAUGGCCUCUGAGGACCCCCAAGACCAACUGGAUGAGGCUAUUAAAAAGGCAGAACGCCUUGCUGAGGAGCUCAACCAAGAGAAGGACCCACAAGCCCAACUGGACGAGGCCAUUAACGAGGCAAAAAGGCUGGCUGAGGAGCUCAACCCAGAACGGGAAAAUAAGAAAAAGACAAACAAGCCUCCAGGGAUUAGGUUCAGAUGGAGACAAAGGGAUGAGAGAGGACAGAUUGUUCCUCAAACCAGGAAGGCAACUACAUCCACUUCCCUUGCUCCAAGGGCCAGUACAUCAAGAGCCAGACUAGUGCAACCUUCUGGGCCAGUCACUGAGGAGGAAGAAUCAGAGACAAGGACCAGUGGAUUGGAAUCCACUCCAGUUUUAAACAUUGAUGAAGAAAUAGGUCUCUACAAUGUUACAGUGCCUGUGCUGACCUGCACAACCUGUCUUUGCACCUGGACAGCAAACUUGGCAGAUCUGAUAAAGAAUGGGUUCUGGCCUGCCACUGUCAACUGUGACACCAUAUACCAGAAUGGAAUGAUCUGUGGGGACACUUUCCAAAAAAGCUUCUUUGAGUGGACGUACUGCCGCUCUGAAAUUGAACAGGUCUGUGAUAUACAGUACUUUGACUGCCCAGCCUGUUCACCCAGCAUGCUUGCAGUGUCAGUGGACGGGAACAAGAAGCUGUAUCGAUUCAAAAAAGGCUAUGUAAAACUAUUCAUAAUUUAUUAAAUAACACCGUACUCUAUAUCAUUUAAACAAUCCAAACAAGGUUUGCCUUUUCUUUGUCCAGUGUGAACGUUUUCAAAUGCAGUUGAGUUCAUUUUAGCUUAAAUGUUUUGCGUUUGUAAUGAAAUUAAUUAUCAACAUUGUCAAGUGUCCACAAUCAGUUACUGAGGUUGAUUGCUAUUUCAUAUGUAAUAUAUUUAAUGUAUUUCACGUAUCCUUUCAAGGACUGAUGACAAAGGAUUCUUUGAUGGCGUGUUUAUCUGCAAGGACGAGGAUGUCUGACUUUGUGAACUAUGUCCAUACAAAGACUAAACAUUUACGUUUCCUGUGUAUCUUCUAAUCUGUGAAAUAGGACUGGCCUCGGGCCAUCUGACUCAAAGGCAGACUCGUUAUACACUAUUCCAAUAAAAACAUAUCAUUUUGGAGAUGGUAAUCCUCUCUCUUCAAGUCCAUUUGUCGUUACACUACUCCCUCUGUUCAGAAAUGCAACACACUUUACAAGUGCUUCUUUUUGAUAGUCGAUCUCCAUUGUAGCGAACAUAGGGGGUAGCUCAGCGCCCUCGGCUAGAUUUUAAAAACCUAACCACUGUCCCGUUAACACUCCCCCCCCAAAACAUUUUUUCUACCUAUACUCUUCUACUUCCUUGUCUAGGGUUAUGGAAAAGGGGUAUGUGGAGCAUCCCAGUGGACAGCAGCUAAAGAGUCAAGGAAAACAAACGACAACUUGAUGAAGAGGGACUCGAAGUUGCCGUCUGCCGCCACGGAAUACUUCUAAGGAGCCUCAACAUGAUGCGUGGAGAGAUAUUUGCGUACCCACUGUUCUUGCAGAAGGAAUUGUCUGGCAGCAGGAACAUACAAUUCAUGUGUACAGAUGUGAUCUGCAAAUUUUGGCCAUACCUGACCAAAGUUGCCCUUCAUUGUCCAGAGCUCGCCACUCUUCUAGACAUGAAGCCACUUCUUUCCGUCAUGCAUGCAAAGGCACAUCGUUUGAAAUGCGAGCAAGAACAGACAUGCUAACCAUCCAGGCCAUGGGGUGGAACAGAAGGAAGAAGAACAACCUGCACAGAGUAUUGUCCAGAAGAUACUUGAAGACAACAGCAAAAAUCCAGGAGGAGACCCAGACUCUUGAAAAGUUUAAGAGUGAUUUGGGUGUAGGCGAUGAGACUCUGUACAACUGGACAACGGAAGUUCAGCAAUGGGCUAAUACAGAGGAAACAAAUGAGAACAUGGAUGGUCCCCAGGUACUACAGAGAACAAUUGAAGUCCUGUUUCUGAGCAUCAAAGGAAACAGAACCUCUACCGUCAGACAGAUGGAUGCAAGAAAAGACACCCUCUGCGCAGAAAGAUAUUAGAAGAAUAGGCCAAAUUGACAGCUGCCAUAGAGGAGUACAACACCCUUGUACCAGAUGAGAUCCUUUCCGCAGACCUUCGUACCUGGCCUUGGGAGCUGCAUGGACAAACUGACCUACUCACAAAGAAAAUAGCCUUUGACCGGGUGAUGCUCCUGAGACGGCUGAAGGAGGAAGAGUUAAUUGUCCUAAAGGAAGUCAAGCAGCACUGGGAAAGCCUAAAGAGGGAAUCGGAGAAUGUGCAAGGCCUUGCUUCACAUGUGGCACCUGACCUAAGCAGGCAAAGCUGGCAAUUGAAUCAGUCGGAAGCUGGGAGCAGAGGUCUCUUCUCCAUGCUUCAGAGGAGAGUCAGCAGCCUCGAAAGACACCAGGACUCUGUCAAACUGAUAUACAGCAAGCUAUGGGCCAAGACACCUCCCUCCUAGAAAAUAACUUCAUAGAUGACCUCCUGGAAGAGGACCUAGAUGACAUCUAUGACAGCAUCCACUACAGCUUUGAUGACGAGGAAUCUAUCACAGACUGAAGGUGUUCGUUUGGGUGGGUGCAGUUUGCACUGGUUGAAAAGUGAUUCCAUUUGUUUUGCAUAUGUGCUUUAUCUGCCUUCCUAAGGAAAAAUAGUUUGAACAUUUUAUGAAAAAAAAACUUUUGUUUCUUCCUUGUUGACAAUGUGAUCAUGUGGCACAGAUUUGAGAAGGGCGCUCGUCUAUUACUGCUUUUGCCCGGUUACAUGACCAGGUCCGAUGCACCCCUUUAAAUGGCCAAUCUGCAGUUGCUACAUCCACUUUUGGAUUCUUGAAGAAUAUAAUUUAUAAAUGCCUCAUGAACAUAGUUCAACUGCCGUACCCCAUCAGAUCCCAAAAUAUAUAUUUUUAUCUACUCCAAUGUUUGUAAACAAAGUAAAUGUAAACUUACACUAGCAUGUGUCAAACUCAUUCCACGGGUGAGCCGAGUGUCUGCGGGUUUUUGCUCCUCAAAUGAUUGAUGAAUUAAGGUCACUAAUUAGUAAGGAACUCCCCUCACCUGGUUGCCUAGGAAAAACCUCAAACCAGCAGACACUAGGCUCUCCAUGGAAUGAGAUUGACACCACUGGACUAUAGCCUGGAAACAUGGUUUAAACUAUGGUUCCAUUUCUCCAGCCCCAUCCCUCUGCUUUUAACAGAACCACUGGACUAUAGCCUGGAAACAUGGUUUAAACUAUGGUUCCAUUUCUCCAGCCCCAUCCCUCUGCUUUUUACAGAACCACUGGACUAUAGCCUGGAAACAUGGUUUAAACUAUGGUUCCAUUUCUCCAGCCCCAUCCCUCUGCUUUUUACAGAACCACUGGACUAUAGCCUGGAAACAUGGUUUAAACUAUGGUUCCAUUUCUCCAGCCCCAUCCCUCUGCUUUUUACAGAACCAUUGGCAGGGAGAACGAUGUAUUGUUUCACCUGGUGAUUUCCGAUUUAAACAUUGUUAAACUGUAAUGUACUGUGCUUAUGUGUGCUUAUUAGUUUAGUUAAUAAAAAACUAAAAAAGGUCA
rnacentral:tRNA from 1 species